UACAGAGGUGGCAAGCGUUUGUUCGGAAUUACUGGGCGUAAAGGGCGCGUAGGCGGCCUUCUAAGUCAGACGUGAAAUCCCCCGGCUUAACCUGGGAACUGCGUCUGAUACUGGGAGGCUCGAGUAUGGGAGAGGGAUGUAGAAUUCCAGGUGUAGCGGUGAAAUGCAUAGAUAUCUGGAGGAAUACCGGUGGCGAAGGCGGCAUCCUGGACCAUUACUGACGCGUGAGGCGCGAAAGCUAGGGGAGCAAACGGG
rnacentral:rRNA from 1 species